CUUUACUUCACAUUCUCACCUCAUUAGACAUCAGAGAAUCCAUACUGGACAGAAAUCUUACAAAUGUCAUCAGUGUGGCAAGGUCUUCCAUCCGACUUCACUCCUUGCAGAAUAUCAGAAAAUUCAUUUUUCAGGAUUUCUGUGAUGACUGGAUUUUGAAUUUUGUGGAAUGCUUUUUCUCCGUCUACUAAGGUGAUGUGGUUUUAAUCUUUCAUUCUGUUCUAGUGGUAUAUCACAUUGAUUUGCUUGAAUAUGUUGAGCCAUCCUUGCAUCCCAGAAAUAACUGGCACUGGAAUAUCAACAUUUUUAAAAUAUCCUCUUGAAUACAGUUUUCUAGGACAAGGGAUCUUCAAGAAGUUCUGGAAAAAUACAUAUUAUGAGAAAAUUGUGCAUGAA
rnacentral:sRNA from 1 species